rnacentral:lncRNA from 1 species
UUCCAUUCUUUCUUCCUUCCCCUUCUCUUUUCUUUAUCUCUCUCUUUUUUUUUUUUUGCGGGGGAGUGGAACCGGUUCUUGUCUCACAAACUGCAUCAACAAACUCAAACAUGAAAGCUCAGCACAUGCUCAUAAAUAUAACAAUAUAACCACAAGAACUCAAUGUCAAUCAUCCCAAACAACUACAAUUACAAUCCUAAUGAAAGGAAAGCUAUGUCGGUCUUUAUUCUCCGUAGUUUUUGC